rnacentral:rRNA from 1 species
AGCGAACGCUGGCGGCAGGCCUAACACAUGCAAGUCGAGCGGUUGACGGGAGCUUGCUCCCUGAUUCAGCGGCGGACGGGUGAGUAAUGCCUAGGAAUCUGCCUAUUAGUGGGGGACAACGUUUCGAAAGGAACGCUAAUACCGCAUACGUCCUACGGGAGAAAGCAGGGGACCUUCGGGCCUUGCGCUAAUAGAUGAGCCUAGGUCGGAUUAGCUUGUUGGUGAGGUAAUGGCUCACCAAGGCGACGAUCCGUAACUGGUCUGAGAGGAUGAUCAGUCACACAGGAACUGAGACACGGGCCAGACUCCUACGGGAGGCAGCAGUGGGGAAUAUUGGACAAUGGGCGAAAGCCUGAUCCAGCCAUGCCGCGUGUGUGAAGAAGGUCUUCGGAUUGUAAAGCACUUUAAGUUGGGAGGAAGGGUUGUAGAUUAAUACUCUGCAAUUUUGACGUUACCGACAGAAUAAGCACCGGCUAACUCUGUGCCAGCAGCCGCGGUAAAAC